GUAGAGAUGAAGGUGUUUCCUGGAUUAUCAUCUCUCUGAGCACUGCUGAACUCAUCUCAACCUUGCAGCCUCAUCACAGAAAGACCUUGGAUAAUAUAACCUGGGAGUUUGCAUUAGAUGAGGACACUACUCUGCCUUGGUACAUUAUUGUGGAAGGAGGGGAAAUACACCUUUGUCAAUUCUCAUGGAGAGACUGGCCAAGAAGAGGACAUAAUCACAAGAAAUUGGGGCAACUUUUCCAGAAGAAAAGAAAUUGGGUGCCAGUUUGUCACCAUUGACCACAAAAAAAAACUAGAUGGCUACACUUGUGGGCUAUGGUGUAUAUAUGUACAUUUGUUGCAGACAAAAGGCACCUCAAAAUAAUACCUGUUGGGCAUAAGAUCAGGUUAAUUAUCUCAUAAUGCAACACUUAUGACUUAUAAAUUAUACAAGUGCAAACAGGAAUCUUAACUGGUCCAGUGAUUAUAAGUGUGACAUGUCUUAUUUACAAGCAUGAUAAUAGAUCCAGUAUAAUUCCAUAAGAGGCUGCAGCUGGUAUAUGUGUAUCAAAUCCUGGAAAUUAUGUUACUAUUAUAUAUACUUGUACUUCUAUCAAAUAUUAUAUAUACAGAUUAUUGGAUGAAACUUUUGCAUAACAUUGGGCAUUCCAUAACAAUUUUAAAAAUAUAUUUGUAUUAUUACCAUUUAUAUAAGUUGCAAAUAUAGGAUGCUGUUAGUAUUUUUUUGAAAAUGGUGUUUGCUGAUGGACUUGUUAACAAUUCAUGUGAACUAGCAUCUAA